GCACCCGGCACCCCUGCGGCUGCCGGUACGCUCCCUACGUCCGUCAGCCUGCCCCGAGGGGAGGCGAGGUUGUACUGCCGGGCUGUCGACCCAGCAGCUCUGGCGUUUCACACCCCAUCCCCUGCCGCGGCGCCCCAGGCAGCUUCUCACCACCUUUCCAGCUCCGAGCCGCGGCAUCUGCUCCAUCCUCCGGCUCACCCGGCGCGGCGCGUCCCGCUGAAGGGACCUUCCCCUCCCUUCUUUCCUCCCUCCCCGCGGCCUCGAGUCGCGCCAGUGAUGGAGAGAGCGUCACCGUCUCCUAGCAACGCUCCCAGCAACGCUCCUAGCAACCGGGCAACAUCUGCUCCCGCUGGACCAAUCCGCGCGGGACACAUCUGGGCACCCACCUCCGCGAGCUGCAGGGACCCGCAGGAGCUGCCACCGCCGCCACCGCCGCCACCACCUCCUCCACCGCCACCACCUCCUCCAGGAGCAGCAGCGCUCCCGGCAGCGAGGGCCGGACGGGGAGCAGCCCCCCUCUGGAGCCGGGGCUCGCUGGAGCUGAUCUGAUCGGGGCCUACCAAAGACAUUAACGACGUCGAAAGUAGCCUACUUUAAGAGAAAAUAUGCAGAAGAAGAACAUUUACAUCAAGAUUACCAUGAGUAUUGUCCAGAACACGUGAUACUACCCGAGGACCGGACUUGUAUUUUAAAACUUUCUCUCCAGAAACUCCGAUUCCUGGACGACCCUGAAGCCUACCUCCGUAGGUCUGUAUUAAUUAACAAUCUGUUGAGGAAGAUUCACCUAGAGACAGAGAGGGAGAGCUAUGAAUACUUUAAGGAGGCUUCGUGUUGUAGGACAGCUUACUCUGAUGCACGAAAACGGCUGAAGUUCAUGGUACAGGAGUGCUGUUCCCAGUCGCUCUAUUAUGAAAAGCUGCAUUCAUAUCGCAUCGUGCCUUACUCUGCAGAGAACGCCGUUUAUGGAAUGGGCUACACGAACAGCCACUUGGAGCAAAAUUCUCAAUUGCUUAUUUAUAAAAUGAAUUAAAGCAGCUGUUAGACCCACUGAUGUUUGUUUCUGAAUGCUUGAACUGCUUAUUGAGAUGUUAAGAUGAGGCACUAAUUGCAGAUACACAUGUGAUCAGAGGCGGAUGUGUUCAGAGCUGAGUGGAAGGUACUUUGAAUAAUGCUCUGCAGUCCCCACUGUUAACCCCCUGGUUAUGAAGUACCUUGACAUACACACAGAGCUGGUGCAAUACGGAGGUCCUUAUCCACAGAGACUGCGCGCAAUGUGUUUCAUAGAAACAGAGCUGCGUUUAAGUUAUCUGUGUGUAGAUACAGAUGUUCAAAUUAACUUUGCAGUUAAAUUAUGCCAUCCCCAGUGGAAGGGGAGCCCCCAAAGCAGUGGAGUAGUCUAACAGUGAGAACUAAAAUAUAAGUUAUUUACUGUAAAGCUAUAGAUAGAAAGUUUCUUUGAGAAAUGCUUUGACCAUGAAGGAGCCAGUGCCAAAGGAAACAGCCUUUUGCUUAGGAUUUUCAGAAACUUAACUCACUACUUACAAGACACUCUGUACUGAAAUUUGCAAGGUUUUGGGUUUUGGUUUUUGGGGGUUUUUUUGGUUUUUUUUUUUUUUGGUUUUUUUUUUUUUUUUUUUUUUAAUAAUUGCAUUCACCUUUUACUUAUAUUAUCUCUUAGCUGGUAUCUACUUUGCUAUUUUAAUACAAACCAGAAUGACUCACAGGAAAGAUUGUUUCUUCAGCCCAUCAUCAGUGUUUCCUUAACUUCAUUUGAUUCUUUCCCUAGCUGUUUCCCUGAUACUUCUUUGCAUGCUAAUUUGCUGUUUGGCCAGAGGUUCAUAUUGGUGCUAGGGAAUAGACAGUUAUUUCUUUUUAUGUGGAACAUAAGAGGCAGAAAAACAAUGAUAACUCUCAUAGAUAGAGAAUGGAUGUAUCUGACAGAUGCUAGUAAAACCUCAGAGGUUCAUGAAACUGCUCAACAUUAGUAAUAGUGUUUCGGGUUAAGUGAAAAGUCUAAUUUCAAUCUGGGAAUUAACCUUAGAACAUGUAAAUAUAUAAUUUCACAAGCUAUGACAUGGGAGAUGUUCAGCAAAUGGAUGAUUACAAGUGGAAAGUUUUAUAGCUGCCAAAGCUAUGUAAUGAAAAUACCAAAGAGUAAUAUAAGGGAAAAGAUGAUGCUCCAGCAAUGGGGUCAAAAGCAAAGAUUGCACUAUAACCUGGGGAAAUGUGAUUAACGAGCCUGUAAACUAGCUGUUACCGGUACACCUGCAGUUCACCUGCAGGUGACUUGCAUCCCAGAAUUGCUGAACAAAUAUGUGAGCUGAUCCAAAGCCUGUCAAAGUCCUACAGGUCUGUUGGCUUUGCCUAGCUGGCUAUCACCGCUUUAAAGCGAAGUAAAUAAUAGCGCACGCUCAGCUGGAGGCAGAUAUGUAUCUAAGAACCUAAUUUUUUAUUUCGAAAGGCUUUGCUCAUGCAGAUAUGGCUCAUGCUGUUUCUGAAGCAUUAUACAGUACGAACAAAUAUCAUUACUUGCCAGGGAUGUGCUUCAUGUAGGAUUUCUCCUGUAACCCUAGUCAUGUAUGCUGCAUGUAUCAUUGCAUAUCUCAGGCACGUAUUAGUGCAGAAGAGACGACAGGCAAAUGCAGGAGGUGCAAAGAGCAAAGUUAAUUCCAACAUCAGUAGUUAGAAGCCAGUGCAGGCUUAGGAGAGAGAAGGAAACAGUGAAAUCCAGAUAUUUUGUUUAAACAAACAAACAAAAAGAAAGGGCAACAGUCUAAUUCAAAACAAGGAUAACCUGCAAACUGAAGAACGUAAACAGUACAGAUAUUGUGGGAAGGCUGGAAAAACAGGGCAGUGCUGUUUGGGAGGUACUAUUAGUCAUGAUGAAUGUUCAGGGUUUUGUUUUUAUUUUGAGACAAGUCAUAUUUACUUGUCUCUUACAAAAGGGUGUCUUUAAACCCUCGGUCGGUGUAAUUCGGUGUCAGAGCUGCUUUGCCAUUUGUGGUUAUAUUCCUGAUGCCCCUGGGCUCACACAAGCCCAAAAUCAUGUGAGUGUUUAAGCUGGUAUGAGGCCUUUUGUGAGAGGUGCCAUUACCCCCCAAAGAGCUCUCUGGCCUCAGCUAGCAGCUUGCAUGCCUCAUGCAGACUUAGGGGCAGGGAUAGGGACCUUAGAAGACUGAGAGGUAGCAAAGGAAAAUUACUCCUGUCUUCUGAUUUUUCAAACUAUGUAAUUUUCCUCUCUGAAGUGAUCUGAUUUAUACACAUUUUUUUCUUUGUGUCCAUUUUUGCCUGAAUUCAUAAUGAUCUAGCAGCUACAUGAAAUACUAGAAUGAUGGUUUUUUCUCUGCCUGCCCUACUUUUAUAUUCAUAGGAUGGUUCUGGCCUGAAUAAACAAAACUUUUUACAUAAAAUUAAUCAUGUUUCAAUGGAAUGAAAAAGCUCAGUAGGAUUAAAGCCUUUGACCUCACCUGAAAAAAUCCAUUGCCCUUGUCAGAUUUAUCAUCUUUGAAGAGCAACUUUUUAGCCUGCUGGAAGAGGCAGAUACUUUCUUGCCCAUUGAAAGCUUCUUGGCAAGGUGUUACGACAUCUAGACAGAUGUAACAGACAAAAAUCUGGAUCAGAUAACAACACUCCUUGGGCUACCUGUGAAAGAGGACAGUAUUUACUCAGAUUUUUCUCAUGUGUUGUUUUUGCGAACAAAAAACAUUGCCUGAUUUUAUUUUUUUUUUUUUUACUCCUACUAGCUCUAGGAGCUGUUAAAAUGGGUUAUUUCUUUCUAGAAAACAAAUUGGUUUUUAUGGUUGACUUUUUGACAUGAAGUUGAAUCAAAGGCCACAAUCUUAAAUAUUUUAAGCUUGCUCAAGUUUUUACUGCCUUCUGCUUUGCACAGUGAUUUGUGCUGUUGAAAAGUGGGUCUGAAAUAUUCUACUUUAGUGCUUACAACCCAUAGUUUAUGGGUGAUAGAGAAGUACAAAAGUGCAAUAACAUUGCAAGUUACUCCCAAAAUAUUUAAUUUGACACUUUUUGAAUUAUAUACUGAUUUUAACAUUUAGUUACCAAGUUACUGGUUACCAGCAUUUUAAUACAGCUAGAUACAGUGAUUUUUCUUUUUUGGGUUUGUAGCUACAAUUCAGCUCUUCUGGCUUCUGAUGUGUGAAUCUGUCUGUAGGUGGUCAACUUUCAGUGAUAUAUAUAUAUUCUAUUAUGACUGCAUUAGGAACUCCCACAUAUGGGGUAUGUUUGCACCGGAUGUAAAGAAAGUCCUUCCUUCCCUUUGACUCAGUUGCCUUGGAGACAGUAUAUUCAUCAGAGAGAAUAUAGAUGAGCUGGGUGACAAGGACAGAGUUGGUAAUGAUAGCGGAUCAUUUUGAAAGUGACUGGCUUAGGACAACUCAUUUUUGUCUUGGAAUAGCAGCACACUUGACUGUAAUUAGUGUUUCAAUGAGUUAAGUUUUCUUUGUGCUGCUUUUUCCUUAACUGUAAAUGCUGGGCCUGAUCCUGGAUGCAGAAGGGUCUGUGGUGGCUUUGUUGGAGGCAUGGUGUGAGUGCGUGCAUGGGGUCACCUUCUGGAGCCACAGGACCUGUGGCUGAAGGCCAGAAGGGUGCACAUGCUGGGAGGCAGCCAGGCUCAGCAGGGUGGCAUCUCUGCCUGUGCGACCUGAUGCAGUCACCCCAACCAGUUAGGGCCCUGAUCCUGUAAACACUUCAGUUAUCAUCUAAGUUUCUUUGCACAGAUCCUCUCGCUAAAGCCAGAGAGGCUCCUCGCGUGCUUGUCGCUCAGCAUGUAUGAGUGUGUACAGGGCUGGGGCUUCUAUGCACUGCAGAAGUACUCACUCCUCAAUUGCCUAAUUAUCUUAAUUAUCAGUGAAAGUGAUUAUUGAGCUGCCACUUGAGUUCUUGACUACAUUUAUAUUGCACUGUAAAUUGAACUUUUGUUUUCAAUGAAUGUGUUGAGUAUAUGGACUAUCGUGCCUUAAAGUCCCAUCCUCAUAUGAGCCUUUGUAUAUGUUCUGUAAAUCUGCAAACUGUCUGUAGCUGAUAACUCUGUGCACUCUAUACAGAUCCGGUUUGGUACUCAGCAGGACCUUGGGAAACAUGACCCUGACCUCAGUUUGCCAUGAACACAGAGGGGAUGUGGCAAUUCCCUCUUCUCUUCUUUUUUAGAUUGCUUUCCUCUUUGCUGUUCAUGAGAUUCUGUUUUUCUGGUUUCUGUCAUAGCUGGGUUCUGGGUUACCCACAAUGCCAGGUAACCUCACGGAAACCCAGAAAGUUGUAAAAAAGUUGUCUCCAGCUUUUAAAGGCCAUCUGUACAGCGCGCUCUCAGCAGGGGAUCACAAUUGCAUAUAUCAACUGUGGCAGGUGUUGUCAAGUAUAUCAGCAUAUAUUUGACAGGAUUAACAAAGCAGAAAAGGGAAUACCUAUUUCUACUGAAAUGCAUGAGCCUGCAUUAUGUUAAAUACAUGGUGAUUAUACACCACUUAAUUGGAAUAAUACCUACUGGUUCUAUAAUAAAAAAAUGCUUUUUAAUGUUUAAAGUUACUUGGGACCUGAUUGAAGGUUUUUAUGAAAUUGUUUUCUAAAGUGAAUAGUAGAAAAAUGUAUAUGUAUUUUAAAUAUACAUAUGAUGUGCAUGAUAUUAAUAAAGAUCUAUUUCUAUUGAACCA